ACAUAAGGCUUAAUGUGGUCACAGGGGACCAGCCACGCAAGGGAAGGUCUCUGCUGUUUUCAAGACAUUUUAUACAGGAAUUGUCUAAUCUCUGCUUCUAAAGUAUUAUUGAAGAAGGUGAAUUGUUAAUGAAAACAAAGCAAACCUGCUUUGCUUUGCCAAGAAGAAAACGUUUUUAAAGGAGUUCAUGUGUGGCUCAGCUAAUCCCUAGCCAAGCAAACCUGUAUAAUACUACUAACAGCUAACUGUUAGCCAGCACUUACUAUGUGCCAGGCAUUUCAUGCAUUUUUAACCCUCACACAAUCUUGUGGAAUAGGUGUUAUUACCCCCAUUUUACAACUUGGCUCAGAGAGGUUAAUUCACUUGCCCACAGUACCACAGCUAAAAACUUGCACAGCAGAUUUGGAGCUAGGACAGGUUCCCUCCAAAGUCUCUGUUUCUUCACUCCUAAAUCAUUUCUCAUGCCCUGGUGCUCUUUCCCUUUCUCCCACCACAACAUGGCUUUGCUUAACAACUGCUCAGAUUGUGAGCCUCACCAUUUUAACUGAGGCCUCUCUGGGCUCUCACUUGCAGAGCCAAGAUCGUCUUGUCUCCUGAGAAAAGCCGAGUCAAAACACAUGCACUUGAACCUUGAGUAUAUAAUUUGGUAAUCAUUCUCCCAUAGAUUUAGCACUGGCCCAAGAAUUUUGGCCACGAGUGGAGAGGAUAUAAAAAGACAAAGAAAUAGCUGGUCAAGGGCAUGGUAAACCCAGGGACCCACCAACUGUGCCCCCUAGACUAAAUAUAUAAACUGUAGUCAAUAGUCACUUCUCACUCCUGUUACCAGACCAGGCUCCUUUUGCCCACCACGUUUAUGCCAAUCACUGAGACAACAAACAGAGAAAGGGUUUAAUUCACAAGGCAGCCAAGCGAGGAGAUGGGAGAACAAAUCUCAAAUCUACCUCUCCGAAAAAUGGGAGUUAGGAAUAUUUAUGGGAUAAAGGGAUGGGGUGGUCUGAAGUGUGGGGAUAGAUGAUUGGAGGUAAGAAAAGUGAGGAAUUGAUGAUCUUACACAAGCGUAGUCAAGUUUCAUGGCUCUUCACAGGACUCAUGUUCACAUAAUGGCGGCAUUACCGUGAUCUGAGGGUAGAGUUUUGGGCUUCUUAACAUCAAAGGGUCACUUAUUGGUCAUCUGAGAAGGCCCAGUUGAUGAGUUGGUGGUCUUAACCAGCCUGAACUGGACAAGAAGUCGACUCUCAGUUCCUGAAAAAACUCAAGCCCUCAUUACCAUGGUGACCCACGCAUCAGAGAUGUUAUCCGUAGAUGCACAUAACUGAUGGGAUCUUGUACAGCCUGGAAACAACUGCCUAGCCUGGUCGAUGGAACCCAAGAAGCAUUCUGUAAAUAUUGCUUUCAAUGAAUAAAUGAACUAAUGAACAUUUGCUCUCUUCUGUAAUAACAAUAAAUAUAAUAUCUGACAUUGUAUAUGUCAGGCUCUAUGCAAAA